GACGAACGCUGGCGGCGUGCCUAAUACAUGCAAGUAGAACGCUGAAGAGAGGAGCUUGCUCUUCUUGGAUGAGUUGCGAACGGGUGAGUAACGCGUAGGUAACCUGCCUGGUAGCGGGGGAUAACUAUUGGAAACGAUAGCUAAUACCGCAUAAAAUGGAUUAUCGCAUGAUAAUCCAUUGAAAGGUGCAAAUGCAUCACUACCAGAUGGACCUGCGUUGUAUUAGCUAGUUGGUGGGGUAACGGCUCACCAAGGCGACGAUACAUAGCCGACCUGAGAGGGUGGUCGGCCACACUGGGACUGAGACACGGCCCAGACUCCUACGGGAGGCAGCAGUAGGGAAUCUUCGGCAAUGGACGGAAGACUGACCGAGCAACGCCGCGUGAGGGAAGAAGGUUUUCGGAUCGUAAAGCUCUGUUGUAAGAGAAGAACGAGUGUGAGAGUGGAAAGUUCACACUGUGACGGUAUCUUACCAGAAAGGGACGGCUAACUACGUG
rnacentral:rRNA from 1 species